rnacentral:rRNA from 1 species
AGUGAACGCUGGCGGUAGGCCUAACACAUGCAAGUCGAACGGCAGCACAGUAAGAGCUUGCUCUUACGGGUGGCGAGUGGCGGACGGGUGAGGAAUACAUCGGAAUCUACUUUUUCGUGGGGGAUAACGUAGGGAAACUUACGCCAAUACCGCAUACGACCUACGGGUGAAAGCAGGGGAUCUUCGGACCUUGCGCGAUUGAAUGAGCCGAUGUCGGAUUAGCUAGUUGGCGGGGUAAGGGCCCACCAAGGCGACGAUCCGUAGCUGGUCUGAGAGGAUGAUCAGCCACACUGGAACUGAGACACGGUCCAGACUCCUACGGGAGGCAGCAGUGGGGAAUAUUGGACAAUGGGCGCAAGCCUGAUCCAGCCAUACCGCGUGGGUGAAGAAGGCCUUCGGGUUGUAAAGCCCUUUUGUUGGGAAAGAAAAGCAGCAGGUUAAUACCCCGCUGUUCUGACGGUACCCAAAGAAUAAGCACCGGCUAACUUCGUG